CACAAGCAUUAGCCUUUCAAAAAGGGCUAAAUCGACUCUUAGCUGAUGAAAAUGGAAAGUGUUCUCGCUUUGUUGAUUUAUUCAUUUACUAGAAUAGCCACGUGCAUCAAUCAACAAAUUUUACCACACACGUGAGGUCACACGUUAUGAAGUAUCGUUUAACGUUGUUGUUUACGAAACUCCAGAAGAUUCGACUAUUUAUAGAUAAAAGUUACCUGUGUACCAAUAUCAUGUAUAUGCAUGAUUAAUGACCAGGC
rnacentral:lncRNA from 1 species